rnacentral:rRNA from 1 species
UCAAGCGAACAAGUGCAUGUGGUGGAUGCCUUGGCGAUCACAGGCGAUGAAGGACGCGGUAGCCUGCGAAAAGCUACGGGGAGCUGGCAAACGAGCUUUGAUCCGUAGAUGUCCGAAUGGGGAAACCCGGCCCUUUUGGGUCAUCCUAGACUGAAUACAUAGGUCUAGUGAAGCGAACGCGGUGAACUGAAACAUCUAAGUAACCGCAGGAAAAGAAAUCAACCGAGAUUCCCAAAGUAGUGGCGAGCGAAAUGGGAAGAGCCUGUACUCUUUAUUUGUAUUGUUAGCCGAACGCUCUGGAAAGUGCGGCCAUAGCAGGUGAUAGCCCUGUAGGCGAAAACAGUAUGAAAGAACUAGGUGUACGACAAGUAGGGCGGGACACGUGAAAUCCUGUCUGAAGAUGGGGGGACCAUCCUCCAAGGCUAAAUACUCGUGAUCGACCGAUAGUGAACCAGUACCGUGAGGGAAAGGCGAAAAGAACCCCGGGAGGGGAGUGAAAUAGAUCCUGAAACCGCAUGCAUACAAACAGUCGGAGCCUCGCAAGGGGUGACGGCGUACCUUUUGUAUAAUGGGUCAGCGACUUACGUUCAGUAGCAAGCUUAACCGAAUAGGGCAGGCGUAGCGAAAGCGAGUCCGAAUAGGGCGUUCAGUUGCUGGGCGUAGACCCGAAACCAGGUGAUCUAUCCAUGGCCAGGAUGAAGGUGCGGUAACACGUACUGGAGGUCCGAACCCACUAACGUUGAAAAGUUAGGGGAUGAGCUGUGGAUAGGGGUGAAAGGCUAAACAAACCUGGAAAUAGCUGGUUCUCUCCGAAAACUAUUUAGGUAGUGCCUCGUGUCUCACCUUCGGGGGUAGAGCACUGUCAUGGUUGGGGGGUCUAUUGCAGAUUACCCCGCCAUAGCAAACUCCGAAUACCGAAGAGUGCAAUCACGGGAGACAGACAUCGGGUGCUAACGUCCGGUGUCAAGAGGGAAACAACCCAGACCGCCAGCUAAGGUCCCCAAAUAUGGCUAAGUGGGAAACGAAGUGGGAAGGCUAAAACAGUCAGGAGGUUGGCUUAGAAGCAGCCACCCUUUAAAGAAAGCGUAAUAGCUCACUGAUCGAGUCGUCCUGCGCGGAAGAUGUAACGGGGCUAAGCCAUAUACCGAAGCUGCGGAUGCGAGCUAGUCUCGCAUGGUAGGAGAGCGUUCCGUAAGCCUGCGAAGGUGCGUUGAAAAGCGUGCUGGAGGUAUCGGAAGUGCGAAUGCUGACAUGAGUAGCGAUAAAGGGGGUGAAAGGCCCCCUCGCCGUAAGCCCAAGGUUUCCUACGCAACGUUCAUCGGCGUAGGGUGAGUCGGCCCCUAAGGCGAGGCAGAAAUGCGUAGCUGAUGGGAAGCAGGUCAAUAUUCCUGCACCAUUGUUAGAUGCGAUGGGGGGACGGAUCGCGGAAGGUUGUCCGGGUGUUGGAAGUCCCGGUCGCUGCAUUGGAGAAGGCGCUUAGGCAAAUCCGGGCGCAGGAUUCAAGGGUGUGGCGCGAGCGCUCUAGGGCGCGAAGCAAUUGGAAGUGGUUCCAAGAAAAGCCUCUAAGCUUCAGUCUAACGAUGACCGUACCGCAAACCGACACAGGUGGGCGAGAUGAGUAUUCUAAGGCGCUUGAGAGAACUCGGGAGAAGGAACUCGGCAAAUUGGUACCGUAACUUCGGGAUAAGGUACGCCCUGGUAGCUUGACUGGCCUGCGCCAGAAGGGUGAAGGGGUUGCAAUAAACUGGUGGCUGCGACUGUUUAAUAAAAACACAGCACUCUGCAAACACGAAAGUGGACGUAUAGGGUGUGACGCCUGCCCGGUGCCGGAAGAUUAAAUGAUGGGGUGCAAGCUCUUGAUUGAAGUCCCGGUAAACGGCGGCCGUAACUAUAACGGUCCUAAGGUAGCGAAAUUCCUUGUCGGGUAAGUUCCGACCUGCACGAAUGGCGUAACGAUGGCCACACUGUCUCCUCCCGAGACUCAGCGAAGUUGAAGUGUUUGUGAUGAUGCAAUCUACCCGCGGCUAGACGGAAAGACCCCAUGAACCUUUACUGUAGCUUUGCAUUGGACUUUGAACCGAUCUGUGUAGGAUAGGUGGGAGGCUAUGAAACCGGAACGCUAGUUUCGGUGGAGCCGUCCUUGAAAUACCACCCUGGUUUGUUUGAGGUUCUAACCUUGGCCCGUGAUCCGGGUCGGGGACAGUGCAUGGUAGGCAGUUUGACUGGGGCGGUCUCCUCCCAAAGCGUAACGGAGGAGUACGAAGGUACGCUAGGUACGGUCGGAAAUCGUGCUGAUAGUGCAAUGGCAUAAGCGUGCUUAACUGCGAGACCGACAAGUCGAGCAGGUGCGAAAGCAGGUCAUAGUGAUCCGGUGGUUCUGUAUGGAAGGGCCAUCGCUCAACGGAUAAAAGGUACUCUGGGGAUAACAGGCUGAUACCGCCCAAGAGUUCAUAUCGACGGCGGUGUUUGGCACCUCGAUGUCGGCUCAUCUCAUCCUGGGGCUGUAGCCGGUCCCAAGGGUAUGGCUGUUCGCCAUUUAAAGAGGUACGUGAGCUGGGUUUAAAACGUCGUGAGACAGUUUGGUCCCUAUCUGCCGUGGGCGUUGGAAGUUUGAAGGGGGCUGCUCCUAGUACGAGAGGACCGGAGUGGACGAACCUCUGGUGUACCGGUUGUGACGCCAGUCGCAUCGCCGGGUAGCUAUGUUCGGAAGAGAUAACCGCUGAAAGCAUCUAAGCGGGAAACUCGCCUUAAGAUGAGACUUCCCCGGGGACUUGAUCCCCUUGAAGGGUCGUUCGAGACCAGGACGUUGAUAGGUCGGGUGUGUAAGCGCAGUAAUGCGUUCAGCUAACCGAUACUAAUUGCCCGUACGGCUUGAUCCU